UUAGCUCAGUUGGUAGAGCGUUGCAUUCACAUUGCAAAGGUCACUGGUUCGAGCCCAGUACUACCCA
rnacentral:tRNA from 1 species